AGAGUUUGAUUCUGGCUCAGGAUGAACGCUAGCUACAGGCUUAACACAUGCAAGUCGAGGGGCAGCGAGAGGAAAGCUUGCUUCCUGUCGGCGACCGGCGCACGGGUGAGUAACGCGUAUCCAACCUUCCCUUAGUAGGGCAUAGCCCGGCGAAAGUCGGAUUAAUACCCUAUGUUUUCCAAUGAGGACAUCUGAGCUGGAACAAAGAUUUAUCGCUAAGGGAUGGGGAUGCGUCUGAUUAGGUAGUCGGCGGGGUAACGGCCCACCGAGCCUACGAUCAGUAGGGGUUCUGAGAGGAAGGUCCCCCACAUUGGUACUGAGACACGGACCAAACUCCUACGGGAGGCAGCAGUGAGGAAUAUUGGUCAAUGGGCGCGAGCCUGAACCAGCCAAGUAGCGUGCAAGGAUGACUGCCCUAUGGGUUGUAAACUGCUUUUAUACGGGGAUAAAGUGAGGUAUGCAUACCUUUUUGUAGGUACCGUAUGAAUAAGGACCGGCUAAUUCCGUGCCAGCAGCUGC
rnacentral:rRNA from 1 species